rnacentral:rRNA from 1 species
UACGUAGGGGGCAAGCGUUGUCCGGAUUUAUUGGGCGUAAAGAGCGUGUAGGCGGCUUCACAGGUCCGCUGUGAAAACUCGAGGCUCAACCUCGAGCUGUCGGUGGAAACCGUGUGGCUAGAGUCCGGAAGAGGAGAGUGGAAUUCCCGGUGUAGCGGUGAAAUGCGCAGAUAUCGGGAAGAACACCCGUGGCGAAGGCGGCUCUCUGGGAUGGUACUGACGCUGAGACGCGAAAGCGUGGGGAGCGAACAGG